GGUGAACGCUGGCGGCGUGCUUAAGACAUGCAAGUCGAACGGCAGUCUUCGGACUGUAGUGGCGCACGGGUGAGUAACGCGUAACUGACCUACCCCAAAGUCGCGGAUAACGAUUCGAAAGAAUCGCUAAUACGUGAUGUGCUGUCAGAUUGUGUUCUGCCAGUAAAGAUUGAUUGUUUUGGGAUGGGGUUGCGUUCCAUCAGCUAGUUGGUGGGGUAAAGGCCACCAAGGCGACGACGGAUAGCCGGCCUGAGAGGGUGGCCGGCCACAGGGGCACUGAGACACGGGUCCCACUCCUACGGGAGGCAGCAGUUAGGAAUCUUCCACAAUGGGCGAAAGCCUGAUGGAGCGACGCCGCGUGAGGGAUGAAGGUCUUCGGAUCGUAAACCUCUGAAUCAGGGACGAAAGACACUUCGGUGGGAUGACGGUACCUGAGUAAUAGCACCGGCUAACUCCGUGCCAGCCGCCGCCGUAAGAC
rnacentral:rRNA from 1 species